rnacentral:rRNA from 1 species
UGGCGGCCGUAGCGCGGUGGUCCCACCUGACCCCAUGCCGAACUCAGAAGUGAAACGCCCGUAGCGCCGAUGGUAGUGUGGGGUCUCCCCAUGCGAGAGUAGGGAACUGCCAGGCA